rnacentral:rRNA from 1 species
UACGUAGGCAGCGAGCGUUGUUCGGAGUUACUGGGCGUAAAGGGCGCGUAGGCGGUUGGUUAAGUUUGGUGUGAAAUCUCCCGGCUUAACUGGGAGGGUGCGCCGGAAACUGGAGUGCUCGAGCGUGGGAGAGGAAAGCGGAAUUCCUGGUGUAGCGGUGAAAUGCGUAGAUAUCAGGAGGAACACCUGCGGUGUAGACGGCUUUCUGGACCAUUGCUGACGCUGAGACACGAAAGCGUGGGUAGCAAACAGG